AGUGAACGCUGGCGGCAGGCCUAACACAUGCAAGUCGAGCGGCAGCGCGGGGGCAACCCUGGCGGCGAGCGGCGGACGGGUGAGGAAUUCGUCGGAAUCUGCCUUUUUGUGGGGGAUAACGUAGGGAAACUUACGCUAAUACCGCAUACGUCCUACGGGAGAAAGUGGGGGACCGCAAGGCCUCACGCAGAAAGAUGAGCCGACGACCGAUUAGCUAGUUGGUGGGGUAAAGGCCCACCAAGGCGACGAUCGGUAGCUGGUCUGAGAGGAUGAUCAGCCACACUGGGACGGAGACACGGCCCAGACUCCUACGGGAGGAAGCAGUGGGGAAUAUUGGACAAUGGGCGCAAGCCUGAUCCAGCCAUGCCGCGUGUGUGAAGAAGGCCUUCGGGUUGUAAAGCACUUUUGUCCGGAAAGAAAUCCCUGGAGCUAAUACCUUCGGGGGAUGACGGUACCGGAAGAAUAAGCACCGGCUAACUUCGUG
rnacentral:rRNA from 1 species